GAUAAAAUAUGUUAUCCAUGAGUGGUGGAGUUCCAGGAAUCUUUGAGACUUUAUCAGAAAGAAAGAGAGAGAGAAAAUGAAAAAAAAGAGGAAGGUGGAUGAAUGACUAGUCUUACAAGUAAAUAUGCUAGUGGGAGGAGAGUCCGCGUUCGUGAACCUGCGAAUGAGAAAACGAAAAGUCGACCAGGCCAAUGUUAAUGUCCGUUUGAGCGUUAAUUUGGUCUGGUCGGUUCAAUCGGACGGUUUACGCGGAUACGAAUCGGUCUGGAACACCGACAAAAGGGCCUCAUUUUUUCCAUUUUGUUUCCCUUCGAGAGCUCCUUCCACCGAACCCUACCCUUCAUCGGCGGCAAUAGAGUUCUGGCGGUUGAUCGACGGCGACAAUGAAACCUCCGGCGGCAAUGUUUUCUUCUCUCUUCUUCUUCUUCUCCUCUUUUCAUCGUCUUCUCCGAUGGAAAUCUCAAUUUGGAAAUUAAGGUCUUGCUGUUGUGAUAAGUCUACAGAACAUUUGGAUGGAUGGAUGCAACCAAUCAGUUCGAAAAAUUCAACAAAUUCAACAAAUCCCUAAUCUCUGAAUGCUCUGUUUUCCGAUAUUGUUAAACCCUAAAAUUUCCUUCUGAUAAGCAAUUGCUGCAUCUACCAUAUGCCAUAUGAUGCUUAGAUAUUCAGUCUGAAUACUCUGAUUCUUCUUUUCUUCUUUUUUUUUUGAUAUAUAAUCAGGUUUAGGACCGUAUACUAGCACCGGAUGUAAUUCGCUCUUUCUGUUUCUGGAGUGGAGUCCUCACUCACGCUCAUCUAUUACUGUGUUUCAGUACUGGUCCUACCACCCCUUCAGAUUGGACCUAUCAUCAGAGAAGACGAAAAAGAAGAGGAGAAGAAGAAAAAUGAUCGCCGGCCCUACCACCGGAGUUACUUGUCGAAGAAGAAGAAGAGAAGAGGAGAAGAAGAAUGCAUUUCUUCCGGAGGUUUUUUUGUCGCCGUCGAUAAACCGCCGGAGCUCUAUCGCCGCUGAUAGAGAAAGAGUUUGGUGUAUGAAUAGGAUUCGGUGGAAGAAGCUCUCAGGAAAACAGAAUCAAAGAAACUAGGCCCUUUUGUCCCAAACCGGUUCGUAUCCGCGUAAACCAUCCGAUUGAGUCAACCAGACCACGUUAACGCUCAAACGGACAUUAAUGUUGGCCUGGUCGACGUAUCAUUCUCUCAUUCGCGGGUUCACGAACGCGUGACUCGUGGGAGGAAGUGUGAAUGUUGGAUUUCUUUAUAUAUUUAAGCUUUUGUUUUUUUUUUUUUCUUCGACAUCUUACCCAAAUCUCCACCGCUGUCUCUUUCUCUUAUCUGGACUCAAGACCUUCAUCAAGCCGCCCUCGUGGUCACUCUCGUUAUCUCGUCAACCAACUAUAAAAAUUUUGAUGGCUGGUGUCACUAUCUUUAGUUGCCAAAUAUCUCCAAACCCUUUAGUUUCUUUCUUCCUAUAAUUAGCAAACCAAUCAUCUUGCCAUUGGUUGUGUGAUAAAGAGUGUAACGUAGCUGAAAAUGCAAGCAGUUCCCACAGCCUGCAUUAAUUAUCAGAAAAGAGGCGGUGAUAGCGAGUUCGAAUUGGCUCCCCACACCAACACACCUCACAGCAUAUCUCAGUGUGCAUUGGAUGCGGUGAAAGAUGUUUUCAAUACAUGAUUGGGAUAUACUACUGAGCUCUCCAUGAAGAAUUCAUACAAUUAUGCGAAUUUAGCUAUGGCUGCGUCCAAUUUAUUGGAAAAUUUUCCAAAUUGAAACUGUGGCAAAUUAAUGUAUAAAGGGAUGUCAAGGGAGAUGAUCACUCUAACCUCUGAUACUUUUAGCAUCAA